UCCCCUCCCCGCCACCAGCUGUUUUCGGGGCCGGAUCCCGGCAGCGCCCUCCCCGCAGCGACAGGUGUCUAAACCAACCGAGCCAGCCCCACAGCCGCCGCCCACGAGCCGAGUCCAAGAGAAGAGGGGUGAUCCGGAGCCAACGCCUCUCUCCCAGGGCUCCCCCAAAAAGACAGCCGACACUUCCCUGAACCCUCUGCGCCCCCGUUGCUGCUUCAAACGCGUGCCCCCUCCAGCCGACACCCCGCCCAGGAGAUAAACGGAGUGCCCUGUCGGCAGGAAAACGAAGAAGGGAGAGAAGAAAUGCGUCGUUCUCUUCCCGACUUUGUACCUCUAUCCGAGGACGAGGGAUGGAGGGGGCGGUAGGAGAAGGCCUGCCGGAGGAAUCAGGAACAGUAAGCUCGGAUGUGAUUAAUGAAUGGUAUUUGUUGAGCGCUUCCUCUGCGCCAAACACUGUUCUCAGCGCUGCUCAGGGACCGGUGGACGGGAAAUUCAGAGCGGGUCAGGCUCCGAGAGCGCCUUGGAGUCUCCGGCUCUGGGUGAAAUCAUCGGGACUCGGAGGGGUGAAACGGUCCCGGUCCGUUUCCCCUGGGCGGCUGUGGAUUCUCCGGUCCCGGGUGUACCUGUCGGUUGCUAGGCGACGAGACUCGGGCCGAACAGGGCAACCCACAACCCGGGUUUCCCUGCGACCCUGCCGCCCGGGCGAGGGGAAAAGAGGAGGUUGGUUGGGACCCGUUCGUCGGGAGUUUGUUGCUUCUUGAGAGGGCCUCCAUGGGUGUCCGGAAGAAAGAUCCGAUUUGAGCUUGUGUUGAAGAUUCCCGUGUGGGUGGACUGCCCUCUAUUGGUCCCUGGCCCGGGGGCACGGGAAACGUCUCUGUGCAGUCACCGUGGACCAAAAACUUCAGAGAGAGAGAGAAAG